rnacentral:rRNA from 1 species
AUUGAACGCUGGCGGAAUGCUUUACACAUGCAAGUCGAACGGCAGCACGGGGGCAACCCUGGUGGCGAGUGGCGAACGGGUGAGUAAUACAUCGGAACGUGCCCGGUCGUGGGGGAUAACGUAGCGAAAGUUACGCUAAUACCGCAUACGAUCUGAGGAUGAAAGCGGGGGACCUUCGGGCCUCGCGCGAUCGGAGCGGCCGAUGUCAGAUUAGGUAGUUGGUGGGGUAAAGGCCUACCAAGCCGACGAUCUGUAGCUGGUCUGAGAGGACGACCAGCCACACUGGGACUGAGACACGGCCCAGACUCCUACGGGAGGCAGCAGUGGGGAAUUUUGGACAAUGGGCGCAAGCCUGAUCCAGCCAUUCCGCGUGCAGGACGAAGGCCUUCGGGUUGUAAAUUGCUUUUGUAUGGAACGAAAAGGCUCUGGCUAAUACCUGGGGCUCAUGACGGUACCGUAAGAAUAAGCACCGGCUAACUACGUG